rnacentral:lncRNA from 1 species
GGGAGAGGUGAUUAGGUGGGACAUGGAGCAGUUACAGCUCACUGAGGACAUGACCCUAGAUAGGAAGAUCUGGAGGACGCGAAUUAGGGAAGAAGGCUAGGGUCAGUUCAGGUCGCUAGUGUAGGGAAUUACUUGGUGGGGGUAUUAUUCUUGUUAUGAUACCUUGUUUCAUGCUUUAUUACGAAUCUGUUUAAUUUUCUCUGUUUUCUAUUACUUGUGGGUGUCGUAUUUAUGUUAUGUCAUCUUGUUCCAUGCUUUACUAUGUAUUUGUGUAGUAUUCCGUGUCUCGAGCCGGGGGUCUAUCGGAAACAACCUU